rnacentral:lncRNA from 1 species
GGGAAAAACUGGAUAUUGGUUGAGGGAGGCUGAAGCAAGACCCUGAAGUGUCUACAUUCCCGAGACAGGUGUCUACAUUCAUUCUCUCCACGUCUCACUUCCAAUUUACUAUCGCUCUGUAGCUUCUAGCUCCCUCCGCCGCCGCUGCUGCCGCUGAAAUCAUGGCUGCCAAAUGUGACAGCGGUGGCUGCCCUGCCUCUUGCCCCUGCCCUUCCUGCUUCAGCUCUCAGCUACUGCUCCAGCACCAUGCCUGUGUGCCUGUCUGUGGUCAUGCUCCCUGCCAUGCUCCUCAUGUCCUCUCCCACUGAAGA